rnacentral:antisense_RNA from 1 species
CGUAAGCCAGUAAGGUGCGCUGACACAGCUCUGAACGGACACAAUCAUGUUUGUUAAAAGAGAUCACACCCACCAUUUCAUCUUCCGUGAACCGUUCCAGCGCGUCGCGCAGACCCGACUUUACGCCUGAUGGCAAGUCGCAUUGGGUGACGUCGCCAUUGACAAUAACGGUAACAUUUUCCCCCAACCGCGUC